AUCGCUUCUCGGCCUUUUGGCUAAGAUCAAGAGUAGUAUCUAUUCUUAUCAGAUAAAUUCAACAGUUUCAUUUGGUGACCAUCCUUGGUCUGAAAAUAGAGCUGGUAGAAUAUAA
rnacentral:snRNA from 1 species